AUGAUGGACAUGAUAUAAUGAAACAACAUUGUGGAGAGGAAAGCAUUAGGGGAGCCCACGGCUACAAAACAAGUGAGAAGAGGUGGGAGAAAGAGAAACUACGCCACCUCCUCUGCAGCCGAGCGCACGCAGCAGCCUGGCGUGACAAGUGGGCGACGCCGGGGACAGGGAGUGGGGGUCCUCCGCCCGCUCCGGGGACCCUGUCGCCCACCGUGGUGCGCUGAGCAACUUUUAGCCGGCAGCCCCGCACCUGUCUCAGAGUCCCCAUCGCUCCCCACCAACCAUCAUGGGAAAAUUCUAGAAGAAUACGCUCUCGGAAUCUACGUGCGCAUCAUUUUCCUCCUCACUCCAGAGGAAGGAACCAGAAAAGAGAGCAAAGCGGUGUAGUGUUCAGCCUCAAGGCUGCACAGAUACCUGACUCUGGGCACUCAGGAAGACUCAGGCAGAGAUGGGGAGUCAGCCUGCAAGCUGGCAUGCAAGAGCUCACAUGCAGUUCUCCAUUUAGCUAGGAGGUUUCCAGGGCAACCACCGAAGCAGUAAUUAAAGAUGAAGAGCUAAAAGAGAGAAAAAUAGCAGCAACCUGGUCUCUCUUCACGGAACAUAAGCCACCAAAAGAGGUAUGGACAGCCAGCGACCUCCAUGGAAAUCAUGAAG
rnacentral:lncRNA from 1 species